GGUCCUCGGUGGCUGCUCACACCACCUAUCCCACGAGUUCCGCAGCAAAGUGGAGUUGCCGCCAUUUUUCGGCCAAGCCUUGGAUGAGCAGGACUUCCUCCAUCCGGACCAGCAUCACAAUCAAGAGGCUCAAAAUAGUGGUGGGGCGGAGGUACGCCAAGAGGCGCAUCUAGAGUAAGAUAAGAGCUCUUUUGGAGGAGACAUGUCAGGGCCGGCAUGAUUCUGGAGCAUGACCUACUUCAGAUGGUGAACCACAACUCUUUAUCACGAUGAUACUUACGCAACAGAGUUUGGCAUCAAGUUCAAUGAUUAUUGAGCGUUGGUCCAGGCAUGGGGUUUACCUGCUACUUGGUACAAUGAGACCGGUAGAGAGAAGGAUUGCUUGGCAGAGUUGGCCAAUGGAAUAUGAUGAACAAGG